AUAACAAGAAUAAAAAAAUUGCGGCAACCCUAAUAAAAACAAGACGUAACGACUCUGACAUAACAAAAACAACACGGCAGAGACGCAGCUAACAGAUUUUUUUGGAGAAGAUGUGCUUUUCAGGGUGCUUUUCGAAGUGACCCGCAAUCAGACAGAGAAUAAUAAAACUACCUUCAGGUAGCUCCCGUACUGGUUGGAUCGCUCAGCGAAAAAGCAGAUCAGCGCUCAAAAAAAUACGUUUGCUCUUGAUCCCGGAUGGGGAUCGCCAAAAACAGCGGUAAAGGGCAACGGUUGCCAAAAACAAAAACAGACCGACCCUCAAUAAUAAAAAAAGAGCACGCGCAACGACAAAUUAAAGGGGAGCUUCGGCUCCCCUUUGUGCUGUCUGGCAUUCAGGUUUUCCUCGAUCA
rnacentral:sRNA from 1 species